rnacentral:rRNA from 1 species
ACAUAGCCGACCUGAGAGGGUGAUCGGCCACAUUGGGACUGAGACACGGCCCAAACUCCUACGGGAGGCAGCAGUAGGGAAUCUUCGGCAAUGGACGAAAGUCUGACCGAGCAACGCCGCGUGAGUGAAGAAGGUUUUCGGAUCGUAAAACUCUGUUGGUAGAGAAGAACGUUGGUGAGAGUGGAAAGCUCAUCAAGUGACGGUAACUACCCAGAAAGGGACGGCUAACUACGUGCCAGCAGCCGCGGUAAUACGUAGGUCCCGAGCGUUGUCCGGAUUUAUUGGGCGUAAAGCGAGCGCAGGUGGUUUAUUAAGUCUGGUGUAAAAGGCAGUGGCUCAACCAUUGUAUGCAUUGGAAACUGGUAGA